ACUAUAUAAUAUAACUUUUCGGAGGAAGCGUUAGUCUUAACUUCAAACUGUUGCGGGUUCUCAGUGUAUGUAGUGGUCUUGAAAUACACAUCCUUUGUGGUAGAUUCUCACUAGUCUAAACUUCAAAUUGUUGGUUCUCAGUGUAGGUAGUGGUCUUGAAAUACACGUUCUUUAUGGUAGAUUCUCACUAGUCUAAACUUCAAACUGUUGGUUCUCUGUGUAGGUAGUGGUUUUGAAAUACACGUUCUUUGUGGCCGAGAUUCUCACUAGUCUAAACUUCAAACUGUUGGUUCUCAGUGUAGGUAGUGGUCUUGAAAUACACGUCCUUUGUGGUAGAUUCUCACUAGUCUAAACUUCAAACUGUUGGUUCUCAGUGUAGGUAUAGUAGUCUUGAAGUACACGUCCUAAAAGCAACAUUAAGAUUCGAUGUGUUUUCGUUGAGGCAAUUUGUAGCUACUUAUA